rnacentral:rRNA from 1 species
UACGGGGGGGGCAAGCGUUGUUCGGAAUUACUGGGCGUAAAGGGCUCGUAGGCGGCCAACUAAGUCAGACGUGAAAUCCCUCGGCUUAACCGGGGGAACUGCGUCUGAUACUGGAUGGCUUGAGGUUGGGAGAGGGAUGCGGAAUUCCAGGUGUAGCGGUGAAAUGCGUAGAUAUCUGGAGGAACACCGGUGGCGAAGGCGCAUCCUGGACCGGCAUUGACGCUGAGGCGCGAAAGCCAGGGGGAGCAAACGGG